AUCGCUUCUCGGCCUUUUGGCUAAGAUCAAGUGGAGAAAGGAGGAGAAGAGAGGACAGAUACAAUUAAAACUUUAUAUAUGCAUGCAUGGAAAUGUCACAGUGAAACCUAUUCAUUCAUAUAAUUAAUAUGAGUUAACAUUUAUAAUUAUCAAAACU
rnacentral:sRNA from 1 species